CAGAGCCAGAUUUUGUCUUAAAAAAAAAAAAAAAAAAAAAAAAAAAAAAAAAGUUGCUGACAGUUUAGGUCACAGAAUCAAAAAUGUUAAAGCUGGAAGGAGCCUUAGUGAUCAUUUGGUCCAAAUUCAUUUUACAGUUGUGGAAACUGAGGCCCAGAGGUAAGUGACUUACCCAGGGCUGUGAAGGUGGUCAGUCACAAAGCCAAGUCGGGUUGCAGAUUCCCAGCUCCUGAUGCAAUGCUCUAGACAUGAGUCAAUUUCAUACGCAGGAACAGUGCUUGUUAUUUGAAGCAUUUCAACGGAAAGGCCUUGUAUACAGUGACUCAUGAACUCUGCUUCCCUCUUCCAUUUCUCUUUUAUAUCAAUCUAGACUCUUAAGUAUGAGUUUUGGGCUCAGGUGGGCCAUAUUCAUAGUUACCUGUGAAACAUAGUCUGCAUAACAUUUGGCUAUGUGGGAUAAAACCUACCAAUCCUAUUUCAUUAUGAAAAUUAAAAUGCUAGUUGCCAUUAAAAUAUAAUGUACGUGCAUACAUAAUAUAAAAUAAGGAAUUAUAUGCAGACAUGGAAAGCAAAGACAUCUCAUGGCUUUCUUUAUGGAUUGUUUAUCCUAUUUAAGAACCUUCUAUUUUAAUUCUGUGUGACCUGGCUAAUUUUCUACUAGCUUUGCAAUUCAGGCUCUGCCCCUUGCUUAAUCCCUCUUCCUCCAGAGGGCAGGGCUGUAGUGGCCACCAGGAAGGCUUAGGAUUACAGGACUCCAGGAGUCCCCUUGUCCCUGCUUGCCACCAGGAGUUCAUGAGUACCACUGGCUGCUGCUAGAUCCUUCCAUUGAUAGAGUAUUUCUUUGGGGAAUGUUAAAGAAAGAGGAGUUACUAGUUUCCACCUAAUUUUUCUCCCCAGCAAUGAAGCCAAAUCCCUGAAAAGCCUCAUCCAACCUUGGCAUUCCUAAUUGUAUGUAGCCUCUUUGAUUCAGUACUCAAGCAAGGCCACCAAGGUACACAUACAUGCACACGCACAGAGUACUCUAUGACUCACUCUAUGAGU
rnacentral:lncRNA from 1 species